rfam:Ailuropoda melanoleuca scaffold2693_13, whole genome shotgun sequence.
GGCUCCGUAGCUCAGGGGUUAGAGCACUGGUCUCGUAAACCAGGGGUCGUGAGUUCGAAUCUCACUGGGGCCU